rnacentral:lncRNA from 1 species
AAUCCCGCUACCCUACUGCCUGAGACUGACGACUGUUCACCUACUCAAUCACUAUGCUGACAUUCUGGCAGAAGAAACUGGUACUAGAAAUGAUCUGAAGGAUCAGGUUUGGCCUGGGAGUUCGAGCUGGUACAUGGAUGGCAGUAACUUCCUGGUUGAAGCCUUUGUUCUCUAGGCUCAAGGCACUCGAGUGGGUGAGACAGCUAUCGUAGAAGCAGCUCCAGAAUGCCUACUCAAGAGAAGACCUGCAAGCCCCACAUCUCUUCCAAGUUAGAGAUUUGGUCUACAUUAGAUGCCGACACACAGAAAACCUUGAGACUCUAUGGAAAGGCCCUGCUCAUGUACUCUUGAACACCCUAAUUUCUACCCUAUGUGACCCCUUUUUGAUUUUCCUUCUGCUUUUAAUUAUAGGUCCGUGUGUGUUAAAUAGGCAACUUGCCAUUAUUAGAAGAUGAAUUAGUGCAGUGUGGCUUUUAGUUUUGAGACAACAGUACCAUGCCCUAAAGGAUCAAGUGUGUCAGGGAGAAGAUAGUGUCUAGUUCUAAGAUUAGAAUUACUAACAAGUAGAAGUGGGGAAUGAAAAAGUAUAAUGUAAAAGCAAAAUUCUAGGCCUUUAGGCCCAGGCUUGAGAAUGUGACCUCUGUGACUCAGAGCUCCAAGGUAUGCUAAUCAUAAAACAGAUGGCGACAUUCCUCCACCCACCUGCUUCCUGGGUUCAAGGAGUGUUCAUUCAAAGUCACCCUGACCCACCCUGGCCAUUGCUGGAACCCACUAUGCAAAUGUGCUAUUGUUAGGGGCUCUUAGAAACUGUCUUGAGAAAUAACCCACACAAUUACCAGGUAUUCCUUGUGACUCUUGUGACUUUGCACUUCCUUGUGACUCUUAACUGGUAUUUUUGGUAUUUUCCGACAACGCCCUUCCCACCCCCUUGAGUUGUGGUUUCUUCCUUUAAAUACCCCCUUACCCAGCUACUCAGGGCGCCACAGUCCUCUACCCCUGCGUGGUGUAUGACUGUGGGCCCGAGAGCACUCUUAAAAUAAAAGUUCUCUUGCAGUUUGC